UACGUAGGGGGCUAGCGUUGUCCGGAAUCAUUGGGCGUAAAGAGCGUGUAGGCGGCCCGGUAAGUCCGCUGUGAAAGUCAAAGGCUCAACCUUUGAAUGUCAGUGGAUACUGCCGGGCUAGAGUCCGGAAGAGGCGAGUGGAACUCCUGGUGUAGCGGUGGAAUGCGCAGAUAUCAGGAAGAACACCCGUGGCGAAGGCGGUUCUCUGGGACGGUACUGACGCUGAGACGCGAAAGCGUGGGGAGCGAACAGG
rnacentral:rRNA from 1 species